UACGUAGGUCCCGAGCGUUGUCCGGAUUUAUUGGGCGUAAAGCGAGCGCAGGUGGUUUAUUAAGUCUGGUGUAAAAGGCAGUGGCUCAACCAUUGUAUGCAUUGGAAACUGGUAGACUUGAGUGCAGGAGAGGAGAGUGGAAUUCCAUGUGUAGCGGUGAAAUGCGUAGAUAUAUGGAGGAACACCGGUGGCGAAAGCGGCUCUCUGGCCUGUAACUGACACUGAGGCUCGAAAGCGCGGGGAGCAAACGGG
rnacentral:rRNA from 1 species